rnacentral:rRNA from 1 species
AGUGAACGCUGGCGGUAGGCCUAACACAUGCAAGUCGAACGGCAGCACAGUAAGAGCUUGCUCUUACGGGUGGCGAGUGGCGGACGGGUGAGGAAUACAUCGGAAUCUACUUUUUCGUGGGGGAUAACGUAGGGAAACUUACGCUAAUACCGCAUACGACCUACGGGUGAAAGCAGGGGAUCUUCGGACCUUGCGCGAUUGAAUGAGCCGAUGUCGGAUUAGCUAGUUGGCGGGGUAAAGGCCCACCAAGGCGACGAUCCGCAGCUGGUCUGAGAGGAUGAUCAGCCACACUGGAACUGAGACACGGUCCAGACUCCGACGGGAGGCAGCAGUGGGGAAUAUUGGACAAUGGGCGCAAGCCUGAUCCAGCCAUACCGCGUGGGUGAAGAAGGCCUUCGGGUUGUAAAGCCCUUUUGUUGGGAAAGAAAAGCAGCAGGUUAAUACCCCGCUGUUCUGACGGUACCCAAAGAAUAAGCACCGGCUAACUUCGUG